rnacentral:rRNA from 1 species
GAUGAACGCUGGCGGCGUGCCUAAUACAUGCAAGUCGAGCGAACGGACGAGAAGCUUGCUUCUCUGAUGUUAGCGGCGGACGGGUGAGUAACACGUGGAUAACCUACCUAUAAGACUGGGAUAACUUCGGGAAACCGGAGCUAAUACCGGAUAAUAUUUUGAACCGCAUGGUUCAAAAGUGAAAGACGGUCUUGCUGUCACUUAUAGAUGGAUCCGCGCUGCAUUAGCUAGUUGGUAAGGUAACGGCUUACCAAGGCAACGAUGCAUAGCCGACCUGAGAGGGUGAUCGGCCACACUGGAACUGAGACACGGUCCAGACUCCUACGGGAGGCAGCAGUAGGGAAUCUUCCGCAAUGGGCGAAAGCCUGACGGAGCAACGCCGAGUGAGUGAUGAAGGUCUUCGGAUCGUAAAACUCUGUUAUUAGGGAAGAACAUAUGUGUAAGUAACUGUGCACAUCUUGACGGUACCUAAUCAGAAAGCCACGGCCAACUACGUG